UACGAAGGGGGCUAGCGUUGCUCGGAGUCACUGGGCGUAAAGCGCACGUAGGCGGGUUGUUAAGUCGGGGGUGAAAUCCUGGAGCUCAACUCCAGAACUGCCUUCGAUACUGGCGACCUUGAGUCCGGGAGAGGUGAGUGGAACUCCGAGUGUAGAGGUGAAAUUCGUAGAUAUUCGCAAGAACACCAGUGGCGAAGGCGGCUCACUGGCCCGUAACUGACGCUGAGGCACGAAAGCGUGGGGAGCAAACAGG
rnacentral:rRNA from 1 species